AUCAUAAAACAAACCCUAAAAUUCUAUCUUUCUUUCCAUCUUCUCUGCCGCUGCCUUGUUUCUCCCAGUUCUAUCGCAACCUUCCUCCUCAUCCUCUCCCGUAGCCUCUGUUUUCUCUUCCCCACGGAGUGGAACUCAAAGCUCUGCAUUUCCAGGUUCCAGGAGAAAUCUCCGAACACUGCUGCUAGUGGGGAUGGAAGCAGUAAUGGAACAUUCUUUAGAGCUGUUCUGUUAGUUCGAAGAGGAAGGAUGGAUACCAGUGAAGAGUUCGAAAGUGUUUUUCUGGAAAUGUUGCACAGGGAGAUUUGUGUUGGCCAAUCUUUACAAGUUCAGGGCUGCUACACCAAAACAAAUUAGAGAGUUAAUUAAGGUUGAUGGGCUUACUAAUGAUGAAGUCAAAAGCCAUUUGCAGAUUAUUGUCACAACAAUUUAUAUAAGCUACACAGUGCUUUGCUCAAAUUGGAAUAAAAAAGGAUCUCUUUGGAUACAAAGUGUAGAGUAUCAAUUUAACGUUCUAAAACAGCAA